CUCAACUUUGUAGUACAGGAAUCUAUUAGUCGAAUCAAUAGAUAACAUAAAGUUACAUGUCUGAAGGUGCAGUAGCUUUUCCAAGUGACAAAUUUCCCCAUCUUCCUAUAUACCAAGGAAAGACUGGCUGUGGAAUCGUCUUUCUGCUUAUCUCCAGGACCAACACCUAGAACCUCUUCAUUAAAGGUGAACAACUGCCUGGAAAAGAUCAGUACCUAUACCAAUUCCUGGGCAAAAGGCUAAUGAUCUGAUGUGAUGGAUGGUGGCUUAGAAGGAGUAAGAAUGAAAUAUUGCAUAUAACACAAUUUAGAAAGAUAA